rnacentral:rRNA from 1 species
ACUCCUGCGGGAGGCAGCAGUGGGGAAUAUUGCACAAUGGGCGCAAGCCUGAUGCAGCCAUGCCGCGUGUAUGAAGAAGGCCUUCGGGUUGUAAAGUACUUUCAGCGGGGAGGAAGGCGAUAAGGUUAAUAACCUUGUCGAUUGACGUUACCCGCAGAAGAAGCACCGGCUAACUCCGUGCCAGCAGCCGCGGUAAUACGGAGGGUGCAAGCGUUAAUCGGAAUUACUGGGCGUAAAGCGCACGCAGGCGGUCUGUCAAGUCGGAUGUGAAAUCCCCGGGCUCAACCUGGGAACUGCAUUCGAAACUGGCAGGCUAGAGUCUUGUAGAGGGGGGUAGAAUUCCAGGUGUAGCGGUGAAAUGCGUAGAGAUCUGGAGGAAUACCGGUGGCGAAGGCGGCCCCCUGGACAAAGACUGACGCUCAGGUGCGAAAGCGUGGGGAGCAAACAGGAUUAGAAACCCUAGUAGUCCCA